CCUACGGGCGUCAGCAGUGAGGAAUAUUGGUCAAUGGUCGGGAGACUGAACCAGCCAAGCCGCGUGAGGGAGGAAGGUACAGAGUAUCGUAAACCUCUUUUGUCAGGGAACAAAGACUGGGACGCGUCCCCGGAUGAGUGUACCUGAAGAAAAAGCAUCGGCUAACUCCGUGCCAGCAGCCGCGGUAAUACGGAGGAUGCGAGGGUUAUCCGGAUUUAUUGGGUUAAAGGGGUGCGCUGGCGGUCUGUUAAGUCAGCGGUCAAAGCCCGGGGCUCAACCCCGGCCCGCCGUUGAAACUGGCAGUCUCGAGUUGGAGAGAGGUAGGCGGAAUGCGCGGUGGAGCGGUGAAAUGCAUAGAUAUCGCGCAGAACUCCGAUUGCGAAGGCAGCAUGCCGGCUCCACACUGACGCUGAGGUACGAAAGCGUGGGUAUCGAACAGGAUUAGAUACCCGGGUAGUC
rnacentral:rRNA from 1 species